GUGGGGAAUAUUGCACAAUGGGGGAAACCCUGAUGCAGCGACGCCGCGUGGAGGAAGAAGGUCUUCGGAUUGUAAACUCCUGUCAUUCGGGACGAAUAAUGACGGUACCGGAUGAGGAAGCCACGGCUAACUACGUGCCAGCAGCCGCGGUAAUACGUAGGUGGCGAGCGUUGUCCGGAAUUACUGGGCGUAAAGGGCGCGUAGGCGGUCUGCUAAGUCAGAUGUGAAAACCCCGGGCUCAACCUGGGGAUUGCAUUUGAAACUGGCAGACUAGAGUGUCGGAGAGGAAGGCGGAAUUCCUAGUGUAGCGGUGAAAUGCGUAGAUAUUAGGAGGAACACCAGUGGCGAAGGCGGCUUUCUGGACGAUAACUGACGCUGAGGCGCGAAAGCGUGGGGAGCAAACAGGAUUAGAAACCCUAGUAGUCC
rnacentral:rRNA from 1 species